rnacentral:rRNA from 1 species
GUGGCGGACGGGUGAGUAACGCGUGAGUAACCUGCCUUGGAGUGGGGAAUAACACAUGGAAACGUGUGCUAAUACCGCAUAAAGCAUUUUGGUCGCAUGGCCAUGAAUGCCAAAGAUUUAUCGCUCUGAGAUGGACUCGUGUCUGAUUAGCUAGUUGGUGGGGUAAAGGCCCACCAAGGCGACGAUCAGUAGCCGGACUGAGAGGUUGACCGGCCACAUUGGGACUGAGACACGGCCCAGACUCCUACGGGAGGCAGCAGUGGGGAAUAUUGGGCAAUGGGCGCAAGCCUGACCCAGCAACGCCGCGUGAAGGAAGAAGGCUCUCGGGUUGUAAACUUCUUUUAUUCGGGACGAAACAAAUGACGGUACUGAAUGAAUAAGCCACGGCUAACUACGUGCCAGCAGCCGCGGUAAUACGUAGGUGGCAAGCGUUAUCCGGAUUUACUGGGUGUAAAGGGCGUGUAGGCGGGACUGCAAGUCAGAUGUGAAAUCCAGGG